UCCCUGGUGGUCUAGUGGUUAAGAUUCUGCACUUCCACUGCACGGGGCACAGGUUCAAUCCCUGGCCGGGGAA
rfam:TPA: Bos taurus chromosome 27, whole genome shotgun sequence.